rnacentral:sRNA from 1 species
UUAAUUAAUUAAUUUUUGAAUGAUCAAUAGCAACAUUCUAAAAUGGAAAGCGAUUACUAUCUGGCUUGUUCCAUUAAACACUGAUCUCAAGACAGAAGACUAGGUCACUAAUUUGCAGUAUUAUCUUCUCCUUUUGUGAGAUUUUGCAAUUAAAUAAUGGAAAAUGUUGUGACGGCUGAAAAUUAAAUGAUAAGAAAUUGCAGAAGAUCAAAAUGACUAGUCAGUUACUUCUAUCUGAAGCCCAACAAUGCAUUAUUUUACUUUGCUUCCCCAUUGUCUUUGUAAUAGUGGUACAUCAACUCAACCCAAAUUCUCUUUACAUUAUCUGACUGAAAAGAAGGGUAGAGCUGUAGGCAUUUUCCCUCUUGAAGGCAAGGCAUUUUUGUUGACAGGUUAAGGUAGCUUAGUGUAAAUGCUUUGAGGAACCGCCUAUGUAACUUCCAUAGAGGCAGCAGUAAUUUACAACCCUACCAACAGUGUAUAAGGGGUUCCUUUUGUUGCAGUCUCACCUACAUUUUAAUUUCCUUGAUGAGUUAUUCUGACUGAAGUAAGACUGAGGCAUUCUGAACAUUUCUCUGAAGAUGAUGAAGCUUCCCUGAAGCAAUGCUGGAAUGAUUGGAUGCUGUUACUGAGAAACACAGUACUUCCAAACACUGUGACGGCAAGUUAAAGGAAACUCAACUUCAAAUGGAUCAAGAGUCUCAACACAACACCAGACACCCUGAAUCUGAUGGAGGAAAAAAUUAGGGAAUAUGGCUGAUCUUACAGGCACAGGAAGUUUUAAAAUGGGACCCAAGGUAGUGUAGUCAUUUGAUCAAGAGCUGGUAAAUAGGGCCUCUUAAAAUUAAGCAAGUUUGUGAAGAGCCAAAAACAUCAUCACUUGAGAGAAUGGGAAAAGAAGGUUACUAUAUAGUUAUUAUCCAGAGCGUUAGUGUCUAGAAAACAGAAAAGGCUAACAAAGCAAAAACCAACCCUCGCCCUCCAUAGGGUCCCCAUUGGUAAUGUCAUCUUCUUGGAGAAGUUGUGUCACCAGGGUUCAGCUUGCGAUUUCAAAAACCUAAGUCAUUUCCAGUUAGUUCUAUCUCUGUCUCAUGACUGUGGAUCAGAUGUAAGCUCUCAGCACAUGUCUGUUUGCUGCUGCUAUGCUCCCAACCAAGACAGUCCUGGGGUUUCACUUUGAAACUAUAAGCUCCAAAUUUACACGCUUUCUUUUAUAAGUUGUUUUGGUAACAGUGUCUCAUCACUGCAGUAUCUAAGUAACUUAGACAAUAUGACAUGGAACCAAACAGAGUUCUCAAAAGAACUCUCAGUGGUUGAGAAACAUCUUAAAAAUAUAGAUGGGGAGAAAUUGGGAGGAGUAAAAUUUGAUUAAUUGAAUCACAUCUAAAAUCAUAUACAAGAUACUGACAACACUGGUUGGACCUAAUGGAGGAGAGUUGAGUAGGUAAGAAAUUCUGUGAAUUCUGAAUCUCGUGAAUAUAUUGUCUGGUCAACAAAUAAAUUAGCAUCAUCAAAGCAGCACAUUCCUCUAAAUAUUUGCCCUCAGUAAGUUUGGCAGAAAGCCAAGUUAAUUCCACCCUUUACCCUCUUAAAAAGAGGGAGAUUUUCAAGGGAAAGAAUCCAGUUAGACUUAAUCUACAUAUUACUGUUUGCAGUGAUGUUACGAAUUUAGAAUUACUAAGGUCCAAAGCUCUAGCAGUGAUGCUAUACAAGCAAAUGUGAUGGAGCAAAGUGGAGUAAAUAAUGUACGAAGAUCAGUUACAUUUUCCUUUUAUUUGAUGAAUUCGUGUUAAAAAACAAAAGAAGAUAAACGAAACAACUGGAACAGCCCAACACCAAUACCAAUAUUGUCCAAGAAGACUACAUUUCUUGCAAUUAUUUAAGAUCUGACCUGUUACAACCUCCACAUGACGAGUUCCUUGAGCUAAAACACAGAUCUAUUUACAACUUUAUAAACUUAUCAGGUUAUCUUUCAAUUACUUAAUUUUGCAUCCAGGAGAAGAAUUAAUGGUAAGUACUGACCAAAAAUCACUCCUCUCAAACUAGAAGCAGGGGGAACCUCUAGAAAGUCCCAGGGACCUGGGAUGUGAGAGGCUACCAGGAACCAAUGGGGAUGACAUUAGCUGAAAUGUCCAACCGUGGGCAGAGGAACCAGAAGAGACCACCUGAAGUAAAUAGACAUGGCCACCAGAUGAGGUAGGGGGCCACCCACUCAUCUCUAAGUUUUUAACACAGAAUUGUUCCUGU